rnacentral:rRNA from 1 species
GUGGGGAAUUUUGGACAAUGGGCGCAAGCCUGAUCCAGCAAUGCCGCGUGCAGGAAGAAGGCCUUCGGGUUGUAAACUGCUUUUGUACGGAACGAAACGGUCCGGGUUAAUACCCUGGGCUAAUGACGGUACCGUAAGAAUAAGCACCGGCUAACUACGUGCCAGCAGCCGCGGUAAUACGUAGGGUGCAAGCGUUAAUCGGAAUUACUGGGCGUAAAGCGUGCGCAGGCGGUUUUGUAAGACAGGCGUGAAAUCGCCGGGCUCAACCUGGGAAUUGCGCUUGUGACUGCAAGGCUGGAGUGCGGCAGAGGGGGAUGGAAUUCCGCGUGUAGCAGUGAAAUGCGUAGAUAUGCGGAGGAACACCGAUGGCGAAGGCAAUCCCCUGGGCCCGCACUGACGCUCAUGCACGAAAGCGUGGGGAGCAAACAGGAUUAGAAACCCGGGUAGUCC